GGAACUGUCUUCCUCCGCAGGCGCGAGGCUGGGUACAGGGUCUAUUGUCUGUGGUUGACUCCGUACUUUGGUCUGAGGCCUUCGGGAGCUUUCCCGAGGCAGUUAGCAGAAGCCGCAGCGGCCGCCCCCGCCCGUCUCCUCUGUCCCUGGGCCCGGGAGGGACCAACUUGGCGUCACGCCCCUCAGCGGUCGCCACUCUCUUCUCUGUUGUUGGGUCCGCAUCGUAUUCCCGGAAUCAGACGGUGCCCCAUAGAUGGCCAGCUUUCCCCCGAGGGUCAACGAGAAAGAGAUCGUGAGAUUACGUACUAUAGGUGAACUUUUAGCUCCUGCAGCUCCUUUUGACAAGAAAUGUGGUCGUGAAAAUUGGACUGUUGCUUUUGCUCCAGAUGGUUCAUACUUUGCUUGGUCACAAGGACAUCGCACAGUAAAGCUUGUUCCGUGGUCCCAGUGCCUUCAGAACUUUCUCUUGCAUGGCACCAAGAAUGUUACCAAUUCAAGCAGUUUAAGAUUGCCAAGACAAAAUAGUGAUGGUGGUCAGAAAAAUAAGCCUCGUGAACAUAUUAUAGACUGUGGAGAUAUAGUCUGGAGUCUUGCUUUUGGGUCAUCAGUUCCAGAAAAACAGAGUCGCUGUGUAAAUAUAGAAUGGCAUCGCUUCAGAUUUGGACAAGAUCAGCUACUUCUUGCUACAGGGUUGAACAAUGGGCGUAUCAAAAUAUGGGAUGUAUAUACAGGAAAACUCCUCCUUAACUUGGUAGAUCAUACUGAAGUGGUCAGAGAUUUAACUUUUGCUCCAGAUGGAAGCUUGAUCCUGGUGUCAGCUUCAAGAGACAAAACUCUCAGAGUAUGGGACCUGAAAGAUGAUGGAAACAUGAUGAAAGUAUUGAGGGGGCAUCAGAAUUGGGUGUACAGCUGUGCAUUCUCUCCUGACUCUUCUAUGCUGUGUUCAGUCGGAGCCAGUAAAGCAGUGGUGGCAGCAAUAUUGGUGUGAUUGAGGUUAUGCUGGCACCACUCGCACACAGGCGCACAAUGGUGUUAGCUGGGCAGAAAGAGUGGCAUCUCUGGCUACCGGGCUGGGGGCGACCUUUACCAUAGGAUGAAGUAACCUUGCAUUCGGCUGCAAGGUGUACUGUACGUACACAGGUGCUGGUCGAUGUCCACUUUCUGCUUUUCUUUCUUUCUUUUUUUCUUUUUUAAAGUAAUUUCCCCCACAGUAAAAUACACUGACUCCUGAGUAAAUUGAUUUUCCAGUUUUAUGGAAUUGGGAGUCUGACAAGUGAAACCAAUUUAAUGUAAAGUAUUUGGCUUUCAAAUGGUUUCUCUGUGCUAUUUUUUGGAAUUCUUUCAGAUUCCAGAGAUAUCUUACGUCUUUGAUUCAAUUUAAAAUUUGUACUUAUUUUCUUUUAGAAAUAAUGUAUUGUGUCUGUGC
rnacentral:lncRNA from 1 species